rnacentral:rRNA from 1 species
UACGAAGGGGGCUAGCGUUGCUCGGAAUCACUGGGCGUAAAGCGCACGUAGGCGGAUCGAUCAGUCAGGGGUGAAAUCCCAGAGCUCAACUCUGGAACUGCCUUUGAUACUGUCGAUCUGGAGUAUGGAAGAGGUGAGUGGAAUUCCGAGUGUAGAGGUGAAAAUUCGUAGAUAUUCGGAGGAACACCAGUGGCGAAGGCGGCUCACUGGUCCAUUACUGACGCUG